GGGGAGCUGAACAGUUAACUAUGUGGAGUUGCGGGAGCAAAUGAAAGGUCCUGGAUGGGAAGAGCAGUUCAUCGGAAAAACUAAAGAAGUGUUAGCAAGUCAGGGCUCUGAAAUCCCUGAGGAAUUUAGCUGCCUCGGGCUGAGCCCUGUUCUGUUUCUAAAAGCCGUAUGAAUCAACUGAAGUCCCUAGAUCACCUGCCUCAUCAGUUGCAGAUUUUGGAACCCAGGGCUUCUGAAUUUGUGACCAGUGUGCUUCGCAUGACAAGAAGGUCGACUGUAAAGAGCAGACUCUGCCUUUGGUCUCUUCCCUUCUGAGGGCAUCCUGCGUACUCUACAACCUACAACCUGCUCGAACUCCCAAGCCCUCAACACACACACACAUCCAUGUUUUGGUUUCCCCCUAACCACUGAUGAUGGUCCUAGACUCUGCCCAUCCUGACCGCUAAUAUCUCUGGCGUGGAUCCCACGGUCCAGCCGGACAGCCCCUCUG
ensembl:lncRNA